GGAGCCUGGGUUUGGCCCCGUUGAGCUUUAAGGGGAUGUGGAUUUGUGCUUCCCACCUUCCAGAUGAGUGGUGCAGCUCCUAUCUGGGGCUUGAGCAACUGGAAGCUGCUCCUUGCAGAAAGGAAGGUGGUGUGGGGACUGUCGCUGCGUGGUGCUUCCCCAAACUUAGAGCACACUGGCUGUGGAGGAUCCUUUGAAUGUCUUCCCUCACUUGUGAUACUCAUCAGUGAAGAGGAUGAUGGCACAGGGGUGUGCCCCAUAGGUGCACGUGUUACCUGAUCCCCACAGUGACGUGUUACCCCCCCCCAUGGUGACAAAGGAAUAGAGAGGAGAAUGGGAGAAAUUCAAUAUAUCAGAAACAAGAAUGUUGCUGGGGCAGGUCGAGGGACAUCCAUGCGGAGCAAGGAG